rnacentral:rRNA from 1 species
CAGAGAUGGAUUGGUGCCCGAAAGGGAACCUGAACACAGGUGCUGCAUGGCUGUCGUCAGCUCGUGUCGUGAGAUGUUGGGUUAAGUCCCGCAACGAGCGCAACCCUUGUCGUUAAUUGCCAUCAUUUAGUUGGGCACUUUAACGAGACUGCCGGUGACAAACCGGAGGAAGGUGGGGAUGACGUCAAGUCCUCAUGGCCCUUAUGGGUAGGGCUUCACACGUCAUACAAUGGUCGGUACAAAGGGUCGCCAACCCGCGAGGGGGAGCCAAUCCCAUAAAGCCGAUCGUAGUCCGGAUUGUAGGCUGCAACUCGCCUGCAUGAAGUCGGAAUCGCUAGUAAUCGUGGAUCAGCAUGUCACGGUGAAUACGUUCCCGGGUCUUGUACACACCGCCCGUCACACCAUGGGAGCGGGUUCCGCCGGAAGUAGGUAGCCUAACCGCAAGGGGGGCGCUUACCACGGCGGGGUUCGUGACUGGGGUGAAGUCGUAACAAGGUAGCCGUA